rnacentral:misc_RNA from 1 species
CCGAGUUAGGGUACUUCGCCGUAAAACCACGAGUGCCCGACCUCCCAACCCUUUGCUUACUUGACCUUUGUUGCUUCGGCAGGCCCGCCCUCGGGCCGCCGGGAGCCUUCACCCGCUCCUGGCCAGUCUCGCCUGCCGAUGGCCCAAAUCUCAAAACUCUUGUUUAAAAACGUGUCGUCUGAGUACUUGUUUAAAAACAAAAUUUUAACA